rnacentral:rRNA from 1 species
UACGUAGGGGCCGAGCGUUGUCCGGAGUUACUGGGCGUAAAGCGCGCGCAGGCGGUUUCCUAAGCCCGCCGUGAAAGCCCCCGGCUCAACCGGGGAGGGUCGGCGGGGACUGGGGGACUUGAGGACGGCAGGGGCCGGUGGAAUCCCCGGUGUAGUGGUGAAAUGCGUAGAGAUCGGGGGGAACACCCGUGGCGAAGGCGGCCGGCUGGGCCGGACCUGACGCUGAGGCGCGAAGGCGUGGGGAGCGAACGGG